rnacentral:rRNA from 1 species
UACGUAGGGGGCAAGCGUUGUCCGGAUUUAUUGGGCGUAAAGAGCGUGUAGGCGGUUAUACAGGUCCGCUGUGAAAACUGGAGGCUUAACCUCGCGCCUGCAGUGGGUACGGGCAGACUAGAGUGCGGUAGGGGAGAUUGGAAUUCCUGGUGUAGCGGUGGAAUGCGCAGAUAUCAGGAGGAACACCAAUGGCGAAGGCAGCUCUCUGGGACGGUACUGACGCUGAGACGCGAAAGCGUGGGGAGCGAACAGG